AAUAUUGGUCAAUGGACGCAAGUCUGAACCAGCCAGGUCGCGUGAAGGAAGAGGGCCAUACGGGUUGUCAACUUCUUUUGUAAGGGACUAAAGUGAGUCACGUGUGACUUUUUGCAUGUACCUUACGAAUAAGGAUCGGCUAACCCCUUGCCAGCCGCCGCGGUAAUAAGGAGGAUCCGAGCGUUAUCCGGAUUUAUCGGGUUUAAAGGGUGCGCAGGCGGGAGAUUAAGUCGGCGGUGAAAUUUUGCAGCUCAACUGUAAAAGUGCCUUCGAAACUGGUUUCCUUGAGUGUAGAUGAAGUAGGCGGAAUUUGUGGUGUAGCGGUGAAAUGCAUAGAUAUCACGAGGAACUCCGAUUGCGCAGGCAGCUUACUAAGCUACUACUGACGCUCAGGCACGAAGGCGUGGGGAUCAAACAGG
rnacentral:rRNA from 1 species